ACGUAGGGGGCGAGCGUUGUCCGGAUUUAUUGGGCGUAAAGAGCUCGUAGGCGGUUCGGUAAGUCGGGUGUGAAACCUCCAGGCUCAACCUGGAGACGCCACCUGAUACUGCUGUGACUAGAGUCCGGUAGGGGAGUGUGGAACUCCUGGUGUAGCGGUGAAAUGCGCAGAUAUCAGGAAGAACACCAGCGGCGAAGGCGGCACUCUGGGCCGGUACUGACGCUGAGGAGCGAAAGCGUGGGUAGCAAACAGGAUUAGAUACCCUGGUAGUCCACGCCGUAAACGUUGGGCACUAGGUGUGGGUCUCAACCAACGAGAUCCGUGCCGCAGCUAACGCAUUAAGUGCCCCGCCUGGGGAGUACGGCCGCAAGGCUA
rnacentral:rRNA from 1 species